UCCCUGGUGGCUCAGAUGGUAAAGAAUUUGCCUGCAGUGCAAGAGACUCGGGUUCGAUUCCUGGAUUGGGAA
rnacentral:tRNA from 1 species